rnacentral:lncRNA from 1 species
CAGGUUCAAGAAGGUUUUGAGUAUUAAUCUUAGAUUAUAAACUCAUUAGCUAACUUUAAUUGUUUGUUAUUAUCAUGGUUUUUCGUGGCUUGGACAAGCUGACCGAUAGAUUACGAGUCUGAUUCAACUCAUUUGCGUUAAGAGUAUGAAAUCACAUACCGAUAUAUUUAUAACCGCCAGUGAGAUAGAAAUUAUAGAGAAACAUCCAAGCGAACCAAAGAUUUAAAACAUCUAAAGCUAAACCAGAAAGAGAACUAACUACUGGUUAGAAACAGUUAGGGGUGAAUAAGAAAGAGAAGCCUUCAGUUAAACCGAAAGAGAAGCCAUUCAAGACCUCCUCCUUUCAAGUGAACCGGUAACUUGAAAUGCUUAGUUAGAGCUAGAGAGGAAAGUAUCUGCAUCUGCCUGGCUACUCCAUGUCUAUGCCCAAUCUCCAUGGAUCAGGUCUCAAACCACAUUCUUACUGCUACUAUCAAUGGCUAAAGACAACCCAAACGAAAAAGAUUCAUCCUUUUGAAGGAAACAAUCACGAAAACCAAUACGAGAUUUAUUUUGCACGCAACAAAGCAAAACUAUAACAAAUGAAGCAAAUCCAUUAAGAGAAACCAUUCAGAAAGCACCGACGAGAAGAGAGAGUCCGAGCAAGAAGAGCCAAACGAUAUGGAUCAGUAACAAAGCUUGGCCCGGUACAGAAGCGCUUCCCGCGUUACCCGCGUCGCAGGCUCCCGUUUUCACCACGCGAGCUCCGUGGCACGCCGCGUCGGGACAACCGCACCAGUACGUGACUCCGUCGGCUCCGCAAACCGGAUCCGCCCGGAAACAGUUUAUUGGGCACCCGCCCGGAUCCGAAACCGUAUUGCAGACGUCGCCGCUCGAUUUCUCGCCCGCUGCUUGUGAGGAGCCGAUCAAGCAGAAUAGCAAUAAGAGUGAGGGGAUGAUGAUCCACGAGAACGACCGCAUCACUUGGUUCCUGAAACCUAUAGACAUCGAAUUAGGGUGAAAGGAGAGACAACUUUCCCAGAUUCGUAACCCUAAUUUUAUGUGAUUUGGGGAUUUUCUCGGAGUUUGCGUGUAACCGUGUUGUUUGAAUUGGUGGGUACACACCUGCCCACCGAGUCAAGCAGACAUCAAAAACUACGUGCCGUUUUUUGUUUUUGAUCAAAACCAUCAAACGUCACGCUAUUUAAAGAUAAUCUCGGUUUGCUGGUUAGACCGGUUCAUCAACUUAUUUUAACGCAAUGUUUGGUUUUGAACGGUUAAGAUGCUCUGAUAGUAAAGAUCAAAAACUUUGUUUAGUGUUUAAGGUGGUUAUUCAAGUUCAACAUUAAUCAAAAUUCUAUUUUCAAGUAAUCAUAAUGGCCAAAAUGUUAAAAAAAAAGCAUAGUAAUCGUAUCUCUUGAGCCUUCCCAAGUUGAUCAGACUUAUUUCUUUGCGAGGAUGCAGUCAGAACUGUGUGUCCUGUCCAAACAAAAGAACGGUUUACAGACGGUGAAGUGCUCGGCUUCAUUUAUACUCUUUAAAUCUUUAAAAGUAUUGGAUCCCAAAGACUUAAAGAACAAGUUACCAUAAUUUUCUCUUCAUAUCAUUCCAUAAAACAGUCGUUGCUUAAAUAUACAUAGAGAAAGGUAUCAACCAAAUAAAUUCCAACUAAACAAAUAAGGAACAUGUUAUACAAGUAAGAGACUUCCCACUAAUACAUGAGCCCCACGUUCCAUAUAUCUAUCCCAACCUUGACCAUGAUCUUAUCAAAAAGACUCUCUCUUUUGGAUCAGGUUCACUGAGAUUUUAAAAGGAGGAUUAUCACUUGCGGCAUAUCAUCAUGCCAACACCAAUUGGUACCUGAUGCACAAAGAAAGAGGUGAAAAACUCAAGCAAUACUCGAUGUCAAUGUGUCAAAGUCGGAGCUUUUAGGCGCUUUACCAUCGGUUAUAGGUACACGAGCAUACUUAAUUGGAAAGCCCUCAGCCUCUAAACAUCUGUACACAUCUUGGGGUGUUUGAACAGAAUUAGCAUCCACAUGUUCCCAUAAGUCAAAAAUCUGUCCAUCCUCUUUCAGACGAGCCUCCAUUCCUUCGACUCUAUCACGAUCAAUCCCCUAAACAAAGACCAAUUCAUAAAAGUCGAAGAGAAAUUAAUGAUAUAUAGUCACUAAAGAUAUUGCAAGUAAAUAAUAUCUGCUAAUAUACUGAAAGCACCAGCAGAUUGUUUACCGUAUACUCUAGCAUGUUCUUAUAUGGCCUUUCGACUUCCCGUAGAACAAACGGUUUCAUGUUGAUGUAUAUAUUAGUGAUGGGCCUAAUUCACACCAAAAAAUUUAGCUCAAGAGUGGAGGAUUGCCAAAACACAUAUAUAUUGUCCAAGGAUAUUUGUAUUACCAGAUGUGGGACUUUAUCUAAUAGCCUCUCUCGAGAUAUGGGUGGGAAACAGUCCAAAGGAAACAGACCAAACCCAAUAUCUUGGAAAUACCACAACAAUAUGUGCCACUUGUACAAGCUUACAUAGGUAGGAAACUGUUUAUGGGAAAUCAUAUGAUGGGCUUUUAACCUGGCUCUGAUGUCAUAUUAGUGACAUGCCUAAUUCACACCCAAGAGAUGAAAUGUAAUCAUGAUCAAAGAAGUUUGUUAUUCUCGAUAAGACGUUUUGUUACAAUGUGUCAGCUUAUAUAGUCGUUAGUUAACCGGAAUAAGCUAACCAAAAUACAAUACAUUGAACCAAUCUAAACCGAUACUUUAAUAGCCCCUCUCAAGAUGGCGACAUAAUGGAAAGAAGUCACAUUUUGCCCAUAAGAGAAUGGAAUGAAUCCGGCUGUAGCGGUUUAGUGAAAAUGUCUGCAAGUUGAUUGCCUGUAGUAACAUGUAACGUCUUGAUCAAUCCAAUCUCAACCAUGUCACGCAUUUUAUGACAAUCCUCCUCCAAAUGUUUAGUUCGAUAUAUGAUUAAUUAUGAGAUUAAUCACUUUAAUACACAUUCUAUAUGAUAGUUAUACAUAUUAUAUAUAUGUGACAUAAGGAUGUCGUUCAAGAUUCAAGGAUAAUAUCAAGAAAUAGCAUGUUCUUUGAAGAUAAGAGUUUGGAUUGAUUAUAAUUGUAUUCAAAAAAAUUCGAAGCGUACUUUCUCGAUGAGUCUCCUCUUAGCUCUGAUGGGUCAGAGUAUAUAUACAGAACAUAAACUUUGGAUAGCUAGGGAUCAGUGUUAAACUUAAAAACCCAUGUCCCUCUGGUCAGAAACUAAUCAGAAGAUAUGGGCCGUUUCAGAAAAGUGAAAUGUAUGUAUAUGUAUAUAAUAGUAUGUAAAUAUUGUGUGUAUACUGACAUUAAAUGGUUAUUGAACUGUUUAGUUUAUUUGAUAUGGCUGCUGUCUGGUUACCGCUGCAUUUCUGAAGCCGUUGUUGCUGCUUAAUUUGUCAACCUGCAGCUUGCAGGAGAAGGGCAGAGACAAAAUUAGACUUGAAAUUUAUAUUUCAAAAUAAUUCUAUUAUAUCUUAUAGGAUUAAAUAAAAAAAAGAACUUUUCAUCUGGGUAAGAUUGAAAAUGUAUGGUCUGUUACUGUUUCACAUACAUUGCUGAUGUGCAUUAACUGGUACAGAAGUAUUUUUAUUUUUCUUACUUAGAAGUUAGAACAAGCUGGUUUCUUUGUGUGGAUCAUUGCACAAGUCAACUCACACAUACAUGUACAUAUAUACUUUAUAUAAGAUACACGCAUGCAGAGUGUUAAACUGUUAAUUAAUCUUAGGUUUUGUAUGGUGUGUUUAUGCGUGUAGCUAACUCCGAUCCUUAAAUUGAAUUCCAUUGUUGAUAUACUGUUUUGGCUAGAAAUAUAAUAAAAUUAACAACUAACAAAUAUGAUGACAAUCAUAGAGAUAAUAUACAUGAAUCUUAUAUAUAGUAUAUAUGUUCUGUUAAAAAAAUAAUAUAAUAUAGAUGUAAAUGUGUGUAUACAUGUUAUUGUUUUUCAUGAUUUCUGCACAUAUAUGGUUACAACUCACGUUGACCAAAAAAAAAAAUAGUAACAACUCACAAGCAUUAACUAAACUAUAUACAUACCAUAAUAACUAGAAUCUAGGGCUUAUAUAUCUAGCUAGUUCACAGAUUAGUUUAGAAAUAUAUUCUGGUAUGUAUAGAUCUGUGGAGCCUCAGUGUAUUGGUACAAUAAAACUAAACAAUAUUUACUUCAAGCUUUACUUGAGUGGUGCUACAGAUAAAAAAUCUAGAACCUUUUGGAAGGGUUGUUAUUUUAGAUAUGUCAGCAGUAUUUGUCUGUUAUAGAGUUAUUUUUAGCAUACUGCGAAGUAAGCCUAUAUACUAGCAUGAGCCAUGAGCGCAUGCAGAGAUAAAAGUGAAAUAGUUACUAUAUAAAAAUACACAGGUCUGUCUGAUAUGUAAAUAAUAACAACAAAAGUUAGAGGCAUUUUUUCACCAUAUAUAUGUAAAUUAUUGAUUUUAGCAAAAAGGUGGUUAUUGAAGUAUUUAUGUAUAUAUAGAUGUGUGUGUGUACGUUUUACUAUUUUUGUGGGGAAUCUAAUCUUGAAUAAGAGAUAUAAGUUUAGACUUAUUUUAGCAUUCAUAGUUCGUUAAACUAAUUAAGCAAAACCAGGACCAUGUCAGCUAAAGUUAAUAGCCUAUACUUCACCUAGCUGCGAAAAAGCCAUUGAAAUCAGCGAGGGCUAUUUACAUAUAGAUCACAAUAUUAUGUAAUCGUAUAAAUCAGCGAGGGCUACUUGCCUAUAGAUCACAUUAUUAUGUAUGUGCACACAAAAAAAGAUCACAUUGUGUAAUCAUAUAAUAUAUGUAUGGAAUAGCAGAUGAGAUGUUAGACUGAGCUACGAAUACUAAUGAUGAUGAUUCCACAAAGAGAAGUAAAUAAAAGAUAAAUCAAAUCAAUUUAAAUGGUUGACGAUAAAUUUACUUACAUUUAUAAUGGUUUUUUUGAGAACUAAAUUUCUACCGUUUUUAUCAUUACUCUUCUUUCUAGUGAUCAAACAUGGGAAAUGAACUUUUUUAUUCAAAAUAUGUAAGCAGAAGUUAUAAGUACAUUUUAACAAACAAAAAAGAAGAAGAUAAAUACCAUGUUCUACAGGGAAAAGGUAAUCAUUUUUUUUUUGUAAUACCAGGUUCAAGAAGGUUUUGAGUAUUAAUCUUAGAUUAUAAACUCAUUAGCUAACUUUAAUUGUUUGUUAUUAUCAUGGUUUUUCGUGGCUUGGACAAGCUGACCGAUAGAUUACGAGUCUGAUUCAACUCAUUUGCGUUAAGAGUAUGAAAUCACAUACCGAUAUAUUUAUAACCGCCAGUGAGAUAGAAAUUAUAGAGAAACAUCCAAGCGAACCAAAGAUUUAAAACAUCUAAAGCUAAACCAGAAAGAGAACUAACUACUGGUUAGAAACAGUUAGGGGUGAAUAAGAAAGAGAAGCCUUCAGUUAAACCGAAAGAGAAGCCAUUCAAGACCUCCUCCUUUCAAGUGAACCGGUAACUUGAAAUGCUUAGUUAGAGCUAGAGAGGAAAGUAUCUGCAUCUGCCUGGCUACUCCAUGUCUAUGCCCAAUCUCCAUGGAUCAGGUCUCAAACCACAUUCUUACUGCUACUAUCAAUGGCUAAAGACAACCCAAACGAAAAAGAUUCAUCCUUUUGAAGGAAACAAUCACGAAAACCAAUACGAGAUUUAUUUUGCACGCAACAAAGCAAAACUAUAACAAAUGAAGCAAAUCCAUUAAGAGAAA